UGAGGAAUAUUGGUCAAUGGGCGCGAGCCUGAACCAGCCAAGUCGCGUGAAGGAUGACGGCCCUACGGGUUGUAAACUUCUUUUGUCAGGGAGCAAUGGCUGCUACGUGUAGCGGUUCUGAGAGUACCUGAAGAAAAAGCAUCGGCUAACUCCGUGCCAGCAGCCGCGGUAAUACGGAGGAUGCGAGCGUUAUCCGGAUUUAUUGGGUUUAAAGGGUGCGUAGGCGGAUUGUCAAGUCAGCGGUAAAAAUUCGGGGCUCAACCCCGUCGUGCCGUUGAAACUGACGAUCUUGAGUGGGCGAGAAGUAUGCGGAAUGCGUGGUGUAGCGGUGAAAUGCAUAGAUAUCACGCAGAACUCCGAUUGCGAAGGCAGCAUACCGGCGCCCAACUGACGCUGAAGCACGAAAGCGUGGGUAUCGAACAGG
rnacentral:rRNA from 1 species